rnacentral:rRNA from 1 species
UACGAAGGGUGCAAGCGUUACUCGGAAUUACUGGGCGUAGAGCGUGCGUAGGUGGUUCGUUAAGUCUGAUGUGAAAGCCCUGGGCUCAACCUGGGAAUGGCAUUGGAUACUGGCGACCUAGAGUGCGGUAGAGGGUGGCGGAAUUCCCGGUGUAGCAGUGAAAUGCGUAGAUAUCGGGAGGAACAUCCGUGGCGAAGGCGGCCACCUGGACCAGCACUGACACUGAGGCACGAAAGCGUGGGGAGCAAACAGG